GUUGGGUAGGGGAGCGUUCUGUAAGCCUGUGAAGGUGGCCUGUGAGGGUUGCUGGAGGUAUCAGAAGUGCGAAUGCUGACAUAAGUAACGAUAAAGCGGGUGAAAAGCCCGCUCGCCGGAAGACCAAGGGUUCCUGUCCAACGUUAAUCGGGGCAGGGUGAGUCGACCCCUAAGGCGAGGCCGAAAGGCGUAGUCGAUGGGAAACGGGUUAAUAUUCCCGUACUUGGUGUUACUGCGAAGGGGGGACGGAGAAGGCUAUGUUGGCCGGGCGACGGUUGUCCCGGUUUAAGCGUGUAGGUGUGUGUUCCAGGUAAAUCCGGUUCACUUUAACACUGAGGCGUGAUGACGAGGCACUACGGUGCUGAAGCAACAAAUGCCCUGCUUCCAGGAAAAGCCUCUAAGCAUCAGGUAACAUCAAAUCGUACCCCAAACCGACACAGGUGGUCAGGUAGAGAAUACCAAGGCGCUUGAGAGAACUCGGGUGAAGGAACUAGGCAAAAUGGUGCCGUAACUUCGGGAGAAGGCACGCUGACAUGUAGGUGAAGUGAUUUACUCAUGGAGCUGAAGUCAGUCGAAGAUACCAGCUGGCUGCAACUGUUUAUUAAAAACACAGCACUGUGCAAACACGAAAGUGGACGUAUACGGUGUGACGCCUGCCCGGUGCCGGAAGGUUAAUUGAUGGGGUCAGCGCAAGCGAAGCUCCUGAUCGAAGCCCCGGUAAACGGCGGCCGUAACUAUAACGGUCCUAAGGUAGCGAAAUUCCUUGUCGGGUAAGUUCCGACCUGCACGAAUGGCGUAAUGAUGGCCAGGCUGUCUCCACCCGAGACUCAGUGAAAUUGAACUCGCUGUGAAGAUGCAGUGUACCCGCGGCAAGACGGAAAGACCCCGUGAACCUUUACUAUAGCUUGACACUGAACAUUGAGCCUUGAUGUGUAGGAUAGGUGGGAGGCUUUGAAGCGUGGACGCCAGUCUGCAUGGAGCCGGCCUUGAAAUACCACCCUUUAAUGUUUGAUGUUCUAACGUGGACCCGUGAUCCGGGUUGCGGACAGUGUCUGGUGGGUAGUUUGACUGGGGCGGUCUCCUCCUAAAGAGUAACGGAGGAGCACGAAGGUUGGCUAAUCCUGGUCGGACAUCAGGAGGUUAGUGCAAUGGCAUAAGCCAGCUUGACUGCGAGCGUGACGGCGCGAGCAGGUGCGAAAGCAGGUCAUAGUGAUCCGGUGGUUCUGAAUGGAAGGGCCAUCGCUCAACGGAUAAAAGGUACUCCGGGGAUAACAGGCUGAUACCGCCCAAGAGUUCAUAUCGACGGCGGUGUUUGGCACCUCGAUGUCGGCUCAUCACAUCCUGGGGCUGAAGUAGGUCCCAAGGGUAUGGCUGUUCGCCAUUUAAAGUGGUACGCGAGCUGGGUUUAGAACGUCGUGAGACAGUUCGGUCCCUAUCUGCCGUGGGCGCUGGAGAACUGAGGGGGGCUGCUCCUAGUACGAGAGGACCGGAGUGGACGCAUCACUGGUGUUCGGGUUGUCAUGCCAAUGGCACUGCCCGGUAGCUAAAUGCGGAAGAGAUAAGUGCUGAAAGCAUCUAAGCACGAAACUUGCCCCGAGAUGAGUUCUCCCUGAGACUUAAAGUCUCCUGAAGGAACGUUGAAGACGACGACGUUG
rnacentral:rRNA from 1 species